CUAAAUAUCCUAAAAACAUAAGAAUCUGUUAUGAAAUAAACACUAUUACAUAAACCUGAUUUAUAUGUUAAAUCUGUUCGGAGAAACACAUAAAUAACAAUCGUAACUCCCCAUGAUUAGGUCGAUUUUAAAGCUACAGUUCUUAGCCGUACUUGUUACUUUUUUGUUAGUAAAACUAACAAAUGGAUCCCUAGAAAGAUAUGGGAUAAAUCUUUGACGAUGGGCCUUAACCGAGGUUUGGGAAUCUAGAGACAAGUUAGUAAGUUACCACUCCGUAUUAAAUAUGUUGGGCUCACAACCCGUUUACCUAUGUGGAUCCGGAAUAUAUGGACUGUGGACACCACAAUUCGAUUUCAAAAGUUUGAACGAUUGUUUUGACUAUAUGAGGGAGAAUUCAGAAUUGCAGGAGUUUGCUGUGUGCGAAUGGUAGAUUUCCUGAAGAAUCCAGAAACUUCCUGGGACCUUUGCUUGAGCUAUUGACAUGCAGGCUAUAGCAAAUCAGCAAUACGUCAAAAACCACCAUUACACCGGCGCAAAAAAAAAAAAUCUCCCUAGUGCGAAACUCGUGGAAUCCGUAGGAAUCGUAUGGGAGAUAGGGGUCCGCAUUCGAUCUAAAACUCCGUCGAAAUUUUGGAUAUCAGGUCCGGUUCUAAGGUUUUGAAUAUUUCAGGCCAAGAGAACCAAGAAGGUCAGGAUUGUUGGGAAAUACGGUGAGUUCUUCUGUGAUGAUGUUAAAGGAUGUCAUAUUGCAUAACAUAAUGCCAUUUGAUUGGAAUUUCUUUUGGUUUGGCAAACUCAUGAAGAUUCACUGAGGAAUAAGAUCGAACAGGUGGUUGGCAAACCAAAUCUGCUGCGAAUUUGUGGCUAAAUUACAAAACAGAAUAUAUGGGGAUGCUUCAAAUAUCACUGAGAUUAUAAAAAUGAGCGAUUAAUUUGAUACCCAGAUGGAUUAUUGGAUUACAACAAUAGGGUGGUCAAAUUUAUUGAAAAAAAAUAGUGCGAAAUUAGCUGAUCCCCAUUUUGGUGUUUGAAGUUGGAGACAAUUUGUGGCGAAUCGAAACUAUUUGCACUAUUUUUGUGGAUUUAUAUUGUAUUCUGUGUAGUAUAGUUCAUUAAGUUAUUUUGGGUGGAUUUCUCUGUAAUUUCAAAAUAGAAUUGAGGAUGGGUGAGACACUGAGACUGUGAGAGGGAGGAGUUAGGACAUUCCGAAAAGGGGGAAGUUAGUGCCCACUAACUAGAGGUCUGGCAUAUGGCAUAACUAAGUUAGUGCCUUUUUCUAUAACUAUAUUUUUUUCGUCAUGGUUGCAAUUGUAUAAUUCGGAAUUCUGUUGUUUUGUGGUUGAUUAUUAUAGAAGGGUUCUAUUAAUUCCUAAAGUUUGAUGUUCUAUAUUAAUUCUUUAUUUUGGUACUAAGAUUUAAAUUCUUUGUCAU